UUUGAUGAAGUAUAAAGUGGUGAAGUAUGAAGAGUGUUAAGUAUAUAAAGUGUCUUCCGUGUUUCUUGGGCAUUACUGUUAACAUACUUGAAGGUUACCUAACUAACAGGUACUAGAGGAGUUGUUUACUGGAGACCUGAAAACCGUAAAUAAAUUCAGUUCGUAUCGAGACGCCUCUCCUCCACCGUUGCCAGAUUAUCGUACUCAGAGCCUCGUAUUUACCGGUUUCCGAGUCAUAGCUAUUGCCAGAAAACACCAAUAAUUAACCAUUUUAACGAUAACCAUAUAUGGAGGCAGUUAUCUGGGUGAUGAAAGCAGUUUUGGGGUCGGAAAUCGGCAAACAUAAGAGGCAGAGUACGACAUCCGGCAACGUUGCUCUCCUCCCGAAAUUGACUUCUCAUUCGGCCACUCUUUUGAACUCUUUUUUAUAGGGGCAGUGAUUAGGUUUUUUUUCUCAUUACUAUUAUUAUUAUUUGCCCUUGACCUGUUUCCUUCACUGUAAAAAAUAAUCAGCCAGUCAAUGUAUGUACAAUCUACCUGCUUAUCUAUGCAUUUACCUGUUAAUUAGUCAGUCUCUCUAUCUCGCUAUCUCUCUCUGUCUCUAUCUGUCUGUUAAUCAUUCAGACAGCCAAUUACUCGCUCCCUGUAUGUCUCUAUGAACCUACUUAUAUAUGCAUCCAUCAGUUAAUUAGUCAGUCUAUCUCCCUCUCUAUCUGUCUAUCUAUCUGUCUAUCUAUCUGUCAAUUAAUCAUUCAGACAGCCAAUUACUCGCUCCCUGUAUGUCUCUAUGAACCUACUUAUCAGUGCAUUUAUCAGUUAACAAGUCAGUCUAUCUCCCUCUCUAUCUGUCUAUCUAUCUGUCUAUUAAUCAUUCAGACAGUAAAUGUAUGUACCUAUCUACCUAUUUAUCUAUGCAUUAAUCAGCCAGUUAAUUUAUCCAUCGAUCUGCUUGCCUAUUAACCAUUCAGAGUCAGCAAUCCAAUACUCUUCAAAAAGCUGUGCUCUCAAGACAUACUUCCUCCCUUAAGACAGCCGCUGGACACGUAUUCCCGAUAAUUAUAAGGCCUGCUUGCGUGAGAAAGUUUGUGUACCGCUUCAAUAUUUUACGACGAAGACGACAAUUCCUCACCCGCGACUCAACACACAGACAGACGUUAUGUAGCUAUCGUCUUGGGGAAUAACAACACAAAGACAACACUAACACAACGAAACACAGGGAAAAAGAAAUCAUUACAACGAGGAAAUAGUGUACAUAUCACCUUUGUAGUUAGUUGCUCGCGCGCACACACAUACCCACCCCCCACACACCCUUGCUUUGCUUCUACUGACAGUAUUAAUAGAGAAAGGAUCAAUAGAGGGCAUUACACUCCGAGCCUUGCGUGACAGGGUGAAGGAGACACUAUUUUUUAUACUGGAUUUUUUGGUGUUCGCGUGCCGGCAAUACUAACAGAGAGGCGGUAGCUGUAGGGGCGGGGAGAGUGUCAGUUACGGGAAUGUCUGCCAGUGUCAUCGUAACUUGGGAUAAACAAGUGAGUGAAUGGCAUUAAUAACUUGUGUAGGAAGCGAAAAGUUACUAAAAAGGUUGGUAAUGUAAUCGUAACUUAUGCUAACCAAGAAAGAGAGUGGCAUUAAUAACUUGUGUAGGAAGCAAGAAAGUUAAGAGAAAGGUUGGUAAUGUAAUCCCAACUUAUAACAACCAAUAAGUGGGUGGCAUUAACUGUAUUUAUAGGAAACGAGAGAAAGUUAAAGAAUUGGAUUGUAAUGUAAUUCUAACUUAUAAAACCAAGUGAGUGGCAUGUAUAGGAGCAAGUUGUUUGUAUAGGAUGCGGAAGAAAGUUAAAGGAUAGGUCUGUAAUGUAAUCCUAACUUAUAAAACCAAAUGACUGGCAUUAAGUACAUGUUUAAGGAGCGAGAGAAACUUACACGAAUAGUUGCCAAUGUAAUCUUAACUUAUAACCAAGAGAGUGAGUGGCAUUUACUUAUAAGCGGAGAGAGGUAAACGUAGGGAAAAAGUUGCUAAUCUAAUUGUACCUUUAAGAUAAGCAAUAUAUGGGAGUGACUAUAGUCUUCCAAAUAUGUCGAGGCCGGUCUGGCGUUGGCUCCCGCGGGUCCUUUCCUCCCCUCUGCUCUGCCACACAGUCCCAACACCUAUCUCUUCCUCUCAUAUGUAAGCUAUAGGUAACAUAUGAGAGGAAAAAAUAGGUGUUGGGGCUGUGUGGCAGAGCAGAGGGGAGGAAAGGACCCGCGGGAGCCAACGCCAAAACGGACUCGACAAUUUGGUUUCACUAUAGCGAGAUGUGAUAAACUUGCGAAACGGUUGCCAAUGUAUCGUAGUUAAUGAUAUGUAAAAUAAUGCCCUGUGAUUGGGUUCUGGCACUUGUCUCCCUAUGAUAUCUCUACGCCGUUGUUGCUGAAGUGGGAGAUAAGUUAGCCAGUUUGUACGCAUCGCUCCAAUUUGUACCAGGAAAAUUAGAUGGUGUUGUGAGACGCUUCCGGCCCUCACAUCAACCGUUUCCAAAGGGCCAAAAAGGAGAUCAGUCGGGUUAUAAUGAGUGUUUUUUUGGGUUCAUGGUGCAGAAGAAGGCUCAAACUAUCAGAAGGGGAAAAAAAUCACUCAUGGAAAGGCCUAUAACUCCUGUAUACGAAAGCCUUGUCAAAUGAGUGUUAAGAAUACGGACCCAGGCUACUUCUGAGAUCCGAGUUGUUAAAAUGUUAUGUUGUUAAGAUGAUUGGUCAAAGGUAUAUAAUUUUGACAUUAGUUCAUUUUCAGACAUCAGACUAACUUUCCCGAGUGAUUACAGGAGCCGAGAUAUGAUAAUGUUAUGCUACCAAGAUAACGAUAAAGAUAAAGAUAACUUCUGGCAUUAGUUCAUUUUCACAUCUCAGUCUAUACGCCGGAGUAAUUUCUGACCUGGUGUGAACAGUAAUUGCAAUAAAGCGUACAGAUUAGCGAACAAACCCUAAAUAAGAAGGCCAUACUAACGUUGAGGCAUUGGGGAAAGCAAGCACGAUAGAAAUAUAGGAUGUAAUGCAUUGUAAAGACUCGUGUUCUGAGCAUUACCUGCAACACAGAUCCACAUUCUCGGACGCUUUCGGCUCACAACAAAUUCUUCCAAAGGCCACAAUGAAGGAUGAGUUUUCUUGAGUGUGUUAUCAUGUUUAUGGUGCAGAAGCCUUGUUAAACUAUUAGUAGGCUUAUCACACUCCCCAUGAUAAGACUCACAACCUCGACGACAGCCUUAUUAGUGUGGGAGAGUAAGCCCCGUAGCGUUGGAGUGUGUGGACCUGUCUUCUGCGGGGCACGUUCAGCUCCCCUGCCGUGCCCCGUUCAGCCAAAACUGUAAAGAUAACCUGAAUAAAGUGUAGCUCGUUCGCGGAGUUUCAAUCAUUACAUUACGAGCUUAACCUGUGAGUAUAUUUCUUUACUGUUUAGACUUUAGGGCUUCGUUAUUCCUAAGCCGUUAUUAAAUAGCUUCUUUACAUCUAGGAGCAGUGAGUAGCGGGCUUUUUUUCACAUUAGUUUCCUUUUUUAUGCCCUUGAACAGAAUCCUCUGCUGUAAAAAAAAAAAAAAACUCCUCAGCCAUUGUUGUUGUUUGCUUCAUAACUAUUUACUUGUUACUAUAUUCUGAGUCUUAUGUGUACGUGUUUCCCAUUUUUCUUCUUCUUGAACCCACAAUACUCAUUUUUAUGGUUAAAUUUAUUCGUGGUACUCUUAAUAUUUCUAUAAAGUUGUGAAGGUUUUUCUUGAUGAUGGUUUUCUUUUUCAGCCUGUCUAACCCAAAACCUUUUCAUUCUGUACUAAUUCAUUUAUUAUCCUGUUUUGGAGGUUUAUCACUUAUUCUUUUGCUAAUUUAGAUUCUGUGUUACUCUACUUAGUUACCCUAGUCCACUUUGUACUUAUUUCUUCGUUAUUCUUUCAUUUUUUUCUUUGUUACUUAUUUUUUUUUGCAACAAAGGAGACAGUUCAAGGGCACAAAAAAUGGAAACAAUAAUAAAAAAAAAGCCCGCUACUCACUGCUCCCAAAAAUAAUCCAAAGUGGCCGAAAGAGAGGUACUUCACUUCUCCACAAUUACAAACUAAGGAGUGAGUGAAUCCUAGAAAAUGUUAAUAGUGCUAACAGAGGAGAGACAAACAACACGUAAACACCGUGAUAAUGUUAUUGGUUCAUUGCACGACGACGGAGGAUAGACAUACAAAAGCUGGACGCGAGGAUGACGAGGCGGACGCGGAUGACGGGUGACUGGCAGCGGUGAGGCGGCGGCUGGUGGCGGGCGAGGCGACCCAAAGCUGAACCAUGCUGUCUGAAGCCCAAACGAGACACAUAAUAGACCUCUAAAUAAGAACACUUCGGUUGUUUUGCUGGUGUUCCAAACGUUAGCCUGUCGUGUGAGUGGACGGGUGGAGGAGGCGAACACACUCCUCGCCCAUUACUCGUUAACACAAAAUCGAUGCCACGUUCAUGAUUUACACUCGGGUCCGCUGCUCACGCUACUGCACAGUGUUUAUGCAGCACCAUGUGUUUACCUCGGUAAUUGUAUAUAAUUGUGUUUACAUUGCAAACCUGAAUGAAGCAAUAAAUGUGGUAAUCAUUCAAUUAAUUAAUCAAUCAGUACAACAAUUCUGUUCUGGAGGAUGCAGUAACGAGCCAACUUGUGCAGAAUCAUAACCCUUGAAAAUAUACAUCUUGCUCAAGUCUUUUUCUGACACCUAACUACUAAAUAAUCGUGAAGACGCUCGCUUCAUCUUAAAUUUUCACGGCGACCAUUUAUAAUCACACAAGGCAAUAACAGAUAUAUCCAUGAUAAAAGCUUCACCGCAGAAAAUGAAAAGAUUGUGUACAAUGUGCCCCGGAGGUCUGCCCGGCCCCUUCAGUGAGGCGGGAGAUUUUUUUUUCCAGUGAUGCUGUAUUUAGGGCCAGUUCGACAGUCCAACACAGGGUCAUUGUAAGCGCCCCAACCAAACUGUCUUCUCCACAAUGGUCCGUUAUUUCUACUUAAUACAUCUAAUGAACUUUCCUGUAGAGUUUCGUAAAAUUUUUUCCUUUUUAUAGCAACGUCAAACACUAUACAAGGAAUUUUCGUCGUAUUUUGUGUUUGGUUGGGGAACUUACAAACUUGCUGUAUUUGACUGUAAAACUGGCCCUUAGUCUUCCUGCUUGGUUGCUGUUGACCCCUCCCCCCGGUGAUCCCUUUGACACCAGCCGCUGCUCAAGGCUUGACGGAAUCGUUGACAUGUAUCGGAUCUUCGGCCACGCGACGCUGGCUGAAAGUCGUCCUCCAACAGCAAUGGGCCUCAAACUUGGGAUCCCGGGAUGCGCACGUUGAACACUCGGCCACCGCCUCACACACCUCUAGACAUACCUAAAUAAAUUACUGGGACAGGUACACACGGAGGGGAGAGAGAAUGAACAGGAUGUAAGACGGAGGGUAAAAAAAUCAAGUCUAUUCACGAGGGAAGGAAGGAAGGAAGGAAGGGCGGGGCAGUGGUGCGCGAGUGUUGUGUUGUGACGACAGGACGACGAAAUACUCCCUAGGCGACGAACAGGUGCGACACGACAAGAGACGCAGGUAAUUACAGGUACGUACGGGAGCGAGUAUGUAAUGGAAUGACUAUUUACGAGAAGGUGAGACUGCAACACUCCGCUACUGGCGCUAACGUCUUGACAAGUGGAAAGUAACACUGUAGUAACACUCGAAUGCAACACCUCUUCCUCACACUAGUACCAGUCUUCCUUUCACGCUGAUGUUUCCAAUCGGUCAGUAACACCACAGAACACCCUGAUGCAAUACUUUCUUCACCCUCACGCCUGAAACACUGGAAUGCAAUACUCUUCUCCACCUCCAACACCCCAAAACAUCACCUCUUGCACCAUAAAACAAUGCAACACCUCAAGCCUUCACAAAACACUGCAACACACACUUCAUUUCACUUAUAUAUCGGAAUUUUUUUCACUCCUACGCACUCAGUAACAUCCACGUGCAGCAAGCAAUACAAAUGAUCACAACAACACUCAAGUCGGGGAAACACACUUGAGCUGAGUUACACAGUGUUGGUGAAUGGAAAAUGUUGCUGCUCUCCACCUUGAAAGACAUAAAAAUCAAACCACAGAUACCAUUAUCUCUCUCUCUCUCUCUCUCUCUCUCUCUCUCUCUCUCUCUCUCUCUCUCUCUCACACACACACACACAUUCCUUUUAUCAGACAUCCACAAAGUCACUUACCCCAUUUACUAUAACUGCUACUACUACUAUCACUACUUCUACUACUAAUAUAUAUAUGUGUUUUACAGACUCUUACGUCAGUUAUAAUAGCCCACUGUAGCUUACUAUUACAACAAGAACAACAAUAACAACAAAGUGAUAACAUUCAAUGAGAAAAAUACUAUUAACAUUAUUGAAGUAUGUACGCAAACUAAAGUGUGUGUGUGUGUGUGUGUGUGUGUGUGUGUCCCUGUUACUCUCGGCUUCAAGGUCAAACGAGUCGAACAUCCCCGGAGCAGUGAAGCAAGUGGUUCAUGGAGUGCUCUCUAGUAAUGAUGUAAGUUCUAAGGUCGGAGUGUUCUUAAGGGAUUUAAAAAGAGUGUAUUCAAUAAAUUUACCAUAAACGUAAUUUCACUAAGCCACUAAAACUUACUCAAUCCGUCGCUAGUACCCAGAAGAGGCGAAGUUGAGCAUUGAGUACUCACGAAACAACCCUUGCGUCGUUUAAACCUAUUCUGGACUCAAGACCUUCCCCGUAACCUUCUUGUGUUCGGUAUUCGCCCAUAAUAACAGUAAUGCAUAGACAAGCCUUGAAGAUAAUGCCUCAGACUCCUUCCCUUACCCUUCCUGUUUAACGAGCUUACUUAAAACGAUGUGAACAGGCCUUUAGAUGCUCCUUUGAUGCCUUUUCUUUUUCAUUUUCCUUUCUUUAAUCGGUGUUCGCCCAUAACAGUAAUGCACAGACAAGCCUUGAAGAUAAUUCCUCAGACUCCUUCCCUUACCCUUCCUCUCUAACGAGCUUACUUGAAGAUAUAUGAACAGGUCUUUAGAUGCUCCUGUGACGCCUUUUCUCUCCAGUAUUCCUUCCUUUUUCAGUAUUCGCCCAUAACAGUAAUGCACAGACAAGCCUUGAAGAUAAUGCCUCACUCCUUCCCUUAUCCUUCCUCUCUAACGAGCUUACUUCAAACGAUGUGAACAGGCCUUUAGACGGUUGUUUGAUACCUUCUCCCUCUCGCAUUCCUUCCUUUUUCGGUAUUCGCCCAUAACAGUAAUGCAUAAACAAGCCUUGAAGAUAUUGCCUCAGACUCCUUUCCUUACCCUUCCUGUCUAGCGUCCUUACUUAAAACGGUGUGAACAGGCCUUUAGACGCUCCUUUGACGCCUUUUCCCUUUCGUAUUCCUUCCUUUAUUCGGCAUUCUCCUAGAACAGUGAUGCACGAACAGGCUUUGUAGAUACUGCCGCAUACUCCUUCCCUUCCCCUUCCGCUCUAACGUACUUACUUGUAACGAUGUGAAAAGGUCUUUAGACGCUUUUUUGGUGCCUUCUUCCUCUCGUAUUUUCACGGACGGGCCACGUAGAUAUUGCCACUCAGUUAUUCCUUCACGCAUCUUUUCUCACGUAUUCAAAAUAACACUAAAAUUCACCUUCUAAAAUCGUCUGACGCCGCCUUAUUAUGAUGCACAGACGCAACACUCAGACUGGCGUUGAUGACAUGACUCGCACGUUCCCAUUUGACACAACACAAAGUCACCCUAAGACGCACGUUCGUUUGAUACCAUUCUUGACAUUAACAGUAUACAACUCUGGCCUUGAUAUUGUCACGGAACUCGUCGUUUACUCCUCCCUCACGUCCUCACUUUAGCUAACACAAACGCCACGUGGGGACCCCUCGCCCCGGGCACCAUCUGGCGGCAGGAAGGUUGUCUCUCGUGUGGGGCAGCGUCCGCCAACACACUCGCUCGUUCAUAGCUUCGGCGUGUCUUGUGGAGGGGUUCGUAGGAUUUAUUUACCCAUAAACUCCUCCCGCGGGACCUACUUACACGUCUCCCACGCCCUCCUCAUAAUUCUAGGGAGUUUAAGUGUGCUCGCCAAUUUGUACGCAACACUCGUCUCGUGGAAAGGUUCGCAUCAUUUACUUCAACUCAUAAACUCCUCCCGCGGCACCUACACGCCUCCCACGCCCUCCUCAUGUUUCUCGGGAGAUUAAGUGUGCUCGCCAAUUUGUACGCAUCACGCCAAUCAAGACCCAUAUCGGAAAAAAAAAACCAUAACUGCUCUAGAGAACUGCACACAGCUAUACAAGUGGAUAACAAAUCUAACCUGAAUUUGAACAUACUUUAAUUUUAUAGCUCAGAUCAGUAUUUCAAGGUAUUAGUUUUCGACUGAUACGAAUACUAAUUGGAACCGCUCGCGUACGCAUUGGCGAAUAUUCCCUUGGUAACACCGACAUCUUUACUUCAUUCAGAACACGAUGGAGACGCUGGAAGGAGCUGCGCCUGAAUUCUGAACGCCGUUAUAGUCUAACUAACAAUAAUGUGGCUGAUUCGUCUUUUUUAACCCGUUUUUUUAAAGGCGUGUUUAUUUGAUUUUGUUAUUUUCUUUUUAUCACUUUUAAAGACCGAGUUUAUAAUAUGCCGACUUAACUCUGAGAAUCCAACAAUUUCAACUCCGUCACAAAAAUCGAAUUGAAAAGCCAAAAUAGCCACGUAACUGCUAAUAAAUACUAAUGCAACUUUUGAAUAACCGGGCCACACUAAAACUUAAUAAACACUACUACAACCUUUAAAAUCUGACGUUUUUUAUUGUCACGUGCACACUUUUGCCUCCUACCGACGAGCCGUGUGGGAGGCAACCUGAACCUGACCACUCGAGGAACCUUUCUUUUUGAGCCUUUAGGAACACGCACUGAGGGAGCUCUCGUCUGUAUUGAUCCUUUUAGGGGGGAACACGACAGACCACGAGCGGAUACGGGGAAAAAUUCUCUGGUAACAUCCUUAAUAUCACCUUGUAGCCCUACCCAGGUGUCUUUAUCCUUAACGUAAUUGCAGGUAAAUGCAUAGAUAGUCGAGGUGAGGUGUGGUCAGCACUGGGUAGACGCAAGUGUCGCCCCCUGACUUUGUGAUUUAAGAGUCUGAGGAUGGCAGCUGAUGGUGAGCGGUGACGCCGAUGAAGGUAAUGAACAGAAUCUAUUUUACCGUCUGACUUGUGUAAAGGAAGAGUCAUUUGAGGAGUUUGGAAGGAAGUUAACGAUGAAUGAUGAUGAUAAUGAAAGAUAUAUAAAUUGAAUGUCGUUACACCGUCUAACUUGUGUAAAGGAGGAGUUGCGAGGAAACUAACAAACAGUGAUGAUAAUAAUGAAUGAUAUAUAACUUGGAUCCAGCUGAGUGUGUAGGGAGAGGCACACAAUCAUGACUCCCCCUUUCUCUUUCUUACUCGCUACUUCGUUUUGAGUGAAAGAAAACUUAAAAUGGUUAUCCACAAAUUUUCUUUAUAUACCCAUUUCUCGCGACUUCCAAGCACCGUUGCCAGAUUGUCGUACUCAGAGCAUAGUAUUUACCUGUUUCUGACGCCUAACUAUUGCCAAGAAACAUGAGAAUCUAACUCUUUUAACGAUAACUAUAAAUUAGUUUCCUUAUUGGAGCCCAGAAGACAGUUUAUGGGUAGGAAGUCGGGAAAUAUAAUCGGCUGAGUACGACAAUCUGGCAACGUUGCUUCCAAGACCCGCCGUUCCUCCCCUCUCAAAACACAUGUAUAUACGACACUGGUUAAAUCCCGGAUGACACUGAAGCGUACAGAGUGAGGUUCAUAUAUUCUUUUAAACGUAUCAGGCACCGUUGUCAGAUUAUCGUACUCUGAGCAUCACAUUUACCAGAAUCUCCCCAAUAAAUAUCACCAGGAAACAGGAAUAAUAAAUCAUUUCAACAAUAACCUCAAAUAAAUCUCGUUAUUGUGGUCCAGGAAAGAGUUUUUGGGAUGGAAAUCGGGAAAUAUGAGAAACUGAGUACGACAAUCUAGCAACGUUGGUAGUAUAUCGGGUUCCCAUUACGACCAUGUUGCAAGGCCACGGAGAAGAUUAACCAGGUUUUAAUGGGUGGCUUUCCUAUUCCUGGUGCAGAAGUUGUGUAAAACUAUCACCAGGAUCGCAAUACAGUCCAUGAAAAUCCCAGAACUUCCACGAGAGGCUUUUCAAACAGACGUAUACUACCGUUCCCAGAUUGUCGUACUCAGAGCAUAGUAUUUACUGGUUUCUGACGCUUAACUAUUGCCAAGAAACAUCAGGAAUUAACUAUUUUAACGAUAGUUAUACGUGAAUCUCCUUAUUGGGGUCCACGAGACAGUUUUUGGGUCGUAAGUCGGUAAAUAUAAAAGGCUGAGUAAGACAGUCUGGCAACUUUGCCGUAUACUGAGGCGUCGAUACAUUUAUGAACACAAGCUGGAGUCAUUUCCGGAGGAGGAUGUGGACGAGGAGAGUAAUGAAGGUGGUGGGUGAUAAGUGCGUCCCAUCCUGACUCAGCAACGCACAGUGAUGAGUCUCGGGAAAUGCAGCGGAUGAGGAGAGCAAGUUCACUGAGGAGGGUAAUGAAGAUAGUGGGUGAUAAGUGCAUCCCAUCCUGACUCAGCAACGUAGUACAGUGAUGAGUCUCGGGGAAGGCAGAGGGUGAGGAGAGGAAGCAAGUUCA